UUCAUUUAGCCUUAGAAAACAGGGGAUGACUUGGUUUCUUUUAAUUCAUUUUAUGCUUCGGUGUGUGUAUUGAAUUAAUGUUUGGCAUGCUAUCUAUUUUUAAUAAAAUUUUAUUUUGAUUUUUCAUAAAAACAAAAAAAAAGUUAAGGUCUAUCCCCUGUUUAGCUAGAGUUAUAUUGAUUGUUCGCUUAAAAAAGUUUAUAUUGUGAACUGAGGAUUAAAAGUAUUCUAGAAGUCUAUUUGGAAUAUAAAUAAAAAUAGAAUCUUGUUUGGCAGGAUAUGAGGCUGACUAUUUAUAUGACUGGACAAUUUUAAAAUAUCAGGAGAUUCAACAGGCAAAGGAACAAAAUCUAUCAAUUGUGCGUGAUUCCUUAAUUUGCCGUGUUUGAAUUUCCAUUUUGAAAGUUUGUGAAGAUUAGUAAACUUAGUUAGGAUCAUUGUAUAAAGUGUACCUUACACUUAUUGUAAUUAACUUUUCUGAUUGUAUCAAUUCGAAAUAAUCAAUCUUUCUCUCAAUUAGUUUAUCAACCUAUUUUUUCUUGAUUAACAAUUUCAUGAAAUUUUUGACAAUGUUCAUGCCAUAGCUUGAGGGUUAGGAUGCAUCAUAGAAACUAUUGCAUCUUACACUGGAGGUAAAACGAUUUUUUUGCAUCAAUUUCUGAUUCUAUCAAAUUGUUUCUUUGAAUUUACUUGGUCGAAGUGGUUGAAUUUGAACCUGAUAUCUUUUUUACUAUUGUGUUCAUGGAAUAUCGUGGUACAAAAGAAUCACGUGGUCGGAAGAAAAAUUAUCGAAGAAAAACUCGCAACGCAGAGAGAAAGUGCAACCAUUGUGACGAAACUGCCCCUAUGUAAAAAAUUGAAUUGACGAAACUACCCUAUGUAUGCAUAAACGUCCUCAAAUACAUGUGGGACAAGUAUAUGUAUAUGUGUAGAAUUACUGUGUUCCAGUAACAUUUUCUACAACUUUAGACAAUUUAUUUGCAACGAAAAUUUUACUUCUCAGAUCAACUUCCUGAAAAAAAAAAUAGAAAUUAUGGGAAAAAAA
rnacentral:lncRNA from 1 species